AGUGAACGCUGGCGGUAGGCCUAACACAUGCAAGUCGAACGGCAGCACAGUAAGAGCUUGCUCUUACGGGUGGCGAGUGGCGGACGGGUGAGGAAUACAUCGGAAUCUACUUUUUCGUGGGGGAUAACGUAGGGAAACUUACGCUAAUACCGCAUACGACCUACGGGUGAAAGCAGGGGAUCUUCGGACCUUGCGCGAUCGAAUGAGCCGAUGUCGGAUUAGCUAGUUGGCGGGGUAAAGGCCCACCAAGGCGACGAUCCGUAGCUGGUCUGAGAGGAUGAUCAGCCACACUGGAACUGAGGCACGGUCCAGACUCCUACGGGAGGCAGCAGUGGGGAAUAUUGGACAAUGGGCGCAAGCCUGAUCCAGCCAUACCGCGUGGGUGAAGAAGGCCUUCGGGUUGUAAAGCCCUUUUGUUGGGAAAGAAAAGCAGCAGGUUAAUACCCCGCUGUUCUGACGGUACCCAAAGAAUAAGCACCGGCUAACUUCGUG
rnacentral:rRNA from 1 species